UAUUACUGAACCCCUUCGUCCCCCUCUCUCAUUCUAUCUAUCUUUCUCUCUUUCUCUCUCUUUAAAAUACCAAAAAUAAAACCCAUAAACCUCCAUAACCACCACACUCCGGCGACCCACCUCCGGCCACCGUCCGACCCAACGCGCCGGACAAAUUGAAAGCCCAAGUGCCGGCGACCUCACCCCCCAAGCGGCGCCGCUCCUCUCGCCGCCAUUGACUCGGGAUCGCAAGUCAAAGUUUGGGAUUUCAAACUUUGAACGGGUUUUCCGGUCACCUCCGGCGUCCGUUUGACGAGAGGUUUUCACCACUACACUCAGCUCGUCGAGGAGAACAACCUACACUAAACCAUUUUUCCCGGUUCGCAACUUUUUCCGGUGACAUUUUUGUAGCUCCGCCCCUUUCCGGCGACUUUCCGGUGACCUCGUGUACCGUUUUGACAAACGGUUGGCAUGAGUGUGAUCUACUCGUCGAGGUGGUCGUUUUGAUAUAUACUACUCCUAUUUUCGGCGAUAUUUCCGGUACACCAAUUUUUACCGCCACCGAUUGUUAAUGUGCACCGCUUAGGUGAGGUUUCGGAAUCCCAAAUUUUAAAUAUAGUCAUAUUAUAUGUCGUUGGACUCGGUUUUGAAUGUAGAAUGCGAUGAUGAUAAUUAUUUAAUCAUUUGAUGGUAUAGGUGAGAGUAAUAUGUAAGUUUGGACUAAACAAUUGGAGCUCGGGACUUGAGAGCUUAAGAUCGUCUUUUGGAAAAAAAAAAGAUUAACGACUCGGGAGAGGAACUCAGUUUGAUGCUAGUGGAUGAGGAUGGUACUGUUGGGAAAGGAAUGUCGUUAUUAGUUUAGUCAUAUUUUACUCUUUCACCUUCUAAUGAGACUGAUUUUGUAUUUAAGAACCAAUGGAUGGUCUGGAUGACUUAAAUUAGCUAUGUACUAGUUAGAAAUGAGAAAUGAUGGAUGCUAGGUAUUAUUUUGGUA